rnacentral:rRNA from 1 species
UACGAAGGGGGCUAGCGUUGCUCGGAAUCACUGGGCGUAAAGCGCACGUAGGCGGGUCUUUAAGUCAGGGGUGAAAUCCCGGAGCUCAACUCCGGAACUGCCUUUGAUACUGGAGAUCUUGAGUCCGGGAGAGGUGAGUGGAACUCCGGAGUGUAGAGGUGAAAUUCGUAGAUAAUUCGCAAGAACACCAGUGGCGAAGGCGGCCUCACUGGCCCGAUGACUGACGCUGAGGCACGAAAGCGGUGGGGAAGCAAACAGGG